rnacentral:rRNA from 1 species
GGGAUGAACGCUGGCGGCGUGCUUAACACAUGCAAGUCGAACGAUGAAGGCUGGAGCUUGCUCUGGCUGGAUUAGUGGCGAACGGGUGAGUAACACGUGAGUAACCUGCCCCAGACUCUGGGAUAAGCGCUGGAAACGGCGUCUAAUACCGGAUACGAGCUUCCACCGCAUGGUGAGGAGCUGGAAAGAAUUUCGGUCUGGGAUGGACUCGCGGCCUAUCAGCUUGUUGGUGAGGUAAUGGCUCACCAAGGCGACGACGGGUAGCCGGCCUGAGACGGGUCGACCGGCCACGACGUGGGACUGGACGACACGGCCCAGACCUCCGUACGGGAGCAGCGAGGUAGGGAAUUAGUUGACAACGAAGUGGGACGCAAGCCUAGAU